ACUUUGCUGUACAGCUGCUUGGGUACUAUGAGCGUGCGCUUAAAACUCAAAGCAACUUGGCGGCUUGUUAACUACCUAGUGGGAAUAUGCGCCUUAAUCCGAUGUUCCCCGUUUCAUCUUACUGGGCCUUGAAGAAGUUCAACUGGUGUAUUGCCGUUGUCAGCUUGUUGUGUGAGCAGAGAGAAACAGGCUCAAAGGACGAAGGUCCCUAAAUUCAGGUCGGAAUGCUGCUGAUGGUCCAAGGGAGCGGGUGUUACAGUUUUUAUUUAAACUGCGGAUCCCAGUUGAGAAUUUCUGAGGGAAGGUGAACUUAGAAGUAAGGGAAGAUUAAUAUGCUCCCCUGAACAUGCUCUAACUUGUGUACAAACUGCCCGUCGCUCUCGCCCGGAAAGGGGA
rnacentral:rRNA from 1 species